rnacentral:rRNA from 1 species
GACGAACGCUGGCGGCGUGCUUAACACAUGCAAGUCGAACGGAAAGGCCCUGCUUUUGUGGGGUGCUCGAGUGGCGAACGGGUGAGUAACACGUGAGUAACCUGCCCUUGACUUUGGGAUAACUUCAGGAAACUGGGGCUAAUACCGGAUAGGAGCUCCUGCUGCAUGGUGGGGGUUGGAAAGUUUCGGCGGUUGGGGAUGGACUCGCGGCUUAUCAGCUUGUUGGUGGGGUAGUGGCUUACCAAGGCUUUGACGGGUAGCCGGCCUGGGAGGGUGACCGGCCACAUUGGGACUGAGAUACGGCCCAGACUCCUACGGGAGGCAGCAGUGGGGAAUAUUGCACAAUGGGCGGAAGCCUGAUGCAGCAACGCCGCGUGCGGGAUGACGGCCUUCGGGUUGUAAACCGCUUUCGCCUGUGACGAAGCGUGAGUGACGGUAAUGGGUAAAGAAGCGCCGGCUAACUACGUG